GAACUGGAGUAGUUGGGAGAACGGCAAACUGAGACUGAAUAUACGAGGACCAUCAGCUCAGUCUAAAUACUCCCAACUGACCGAUAGUGAACCAGUACCGUGAGGGAAAGGCGAAAAGAACCCCUGUGAGGGGAGUGAAAUAGAACCUGAAACCGUGUACGUACAAGCAGUAGGAGCAGACUUGUUCUGUGACUGCGUACCUUUUGUAUAAUGGGUCAGCGACUUAUAUUUUGUAGCGAGGUUAACCGAUUAGGGUAGCCGUAGGGAAACCGAGUCUUAACUGGGCGAAUAGUUGCAAGGUAUAGACCCGAAACCCGGUGAUCUAGCCAUGGGCAGGUUGAAGGUUGAGUAACAUCA
rnacentral:rRNA from 1 species